GCGCGGGUGGCGAAAUUUAGAAGACGCACUACCUUGAGGUGGUAGCGGGAGCAAUCCCUUGCAGGUGCAAGUCCUGUCCCGCGCACUA
rnacentral:tRNA from 1 species